rnacentral:lncRNA from 1 species
AUGGUGCUUACCAGUUGUGUGUCUGUGCAAGAAAAAACCCGAGACGCUGCUUGCCUGCUCCCCCUCUCUCCUGCUCUCUCCCUCCCUUCGCAAACAUUGGAUUUAAACCUGCUCAGAAUUCAGUGCAGAGGAAGGCGGCAGCGGCAGCGGCAGCAGCCGGCCCAGCCGCGGGAACCCCGCAGCCUCAAGAUGCACCAGCCCGCCUGCUGGAUCGUCUUCUCCGUGACGACCGCCCUGCUCUUCAUCCCAGAAUUUCCAAAGCUGCCUGUUUCGCACUGAAUGUUUGUGGGAGGAGACAGAGCAGCGUGGCGGCCAAGAGCAGAGGUGAGAGCAGGAGGGAGUCAGGGUGGAGGUGGAGCUGGGGUUGGCUGGAGGCCAGAGACUGGGAAGGAUGAAGACAGCAUGAGGCUGCGAGGCGGGGGCUGUGGGCAGGAUAUGGGGCGGAGGAUGCGGCAGAGACCCAAGUGGGCAGGGAGGCCAGGUCUGAGCCCUGGGGCACUCCAGCCUCAGAGCAGAGGCCCUGCCCAAGGCUGAGUGGUGUGUGGGUGGUUUCUGACGCCUGUGGCCCUCUGGGGCAGACUCCUCUGUGGGCAGAGCCCUGCCCAAGGCCCCUGAGGGUGGGCCAAGCAAUGGAAAAAUACCAGAGACCCCAGAUUGAGCACAGGGCAUCCUGGUAGACACAGCGACUGCCUGCCUCCUGUCUGCCUUUGCCACACCUGAGCCCCUCACCUCCUCGUCCUGCCCCCCCUGCUUCCUGGGGACCUCAGAGCUGCAGGCUUGGUUGCAGGUAAGUGGG